rnacentral:rRNA from 1 species
CCUACGGGUGGCAGCAGUGAGGAAUAUUGGUCAAUGGGCGCGAGCCUGAACCAGCCAAGUCGCGUGAGGGAGGACGGCCCUACGGGUUGUAAACCUCUUUUGCCGGGGAGCAACGGGCGUCACGUGUGGCGCCCCUGAGAGUACCCGGAGACAAGGCAUCGGCUACCUCCGUGCCAGCAGCCGCGGUAAUACGGAGGAUGCGAGCGUUAUCCGGAUUUAUUGGGUUUAAAGGGUGCGUAGGCGGAUCGGUAAGUCAGUGGUCAAAUUGAGGGGCUCAACCCCUUCCCGCCAUUGAAACUGGCGUUCUUGAGUGGGAGAGAAGUAAGCGGAAUGCGUGGUGUAGCGGUGAAAUGCAUAGAUAUCACGCAGAACCCCGAUUGCGAAGGCAGCAUGCCGGAUUCCGACUUACGCUGAAGCACGAAAGCGUGGGGAUCGAACAGGAUUAGAUACCCGUGUAGUC